AUGAGUCUGCAUAUCAUCGCCCGCUUUACACGUCACGACAUUUCACGCUGCAAGCACAAACACACUGGACGUGGCCCCGCUGGGUUGGAAGCCGUCACAACACAAAUAUGCCAAAGCAUGACAGUAAUUAUUUACCGCCAUAAAGUUUUGCUUUUGCUCUGUUUUGCAAAAACUUAACUGAAGGAAACAAGAAAUUGACUGUUGCAUGACAGAAGUAUUAUUGUUGAACAAGCGUUUCAACAGGAAGUCACUGAUCUGAUAUGCAAGUGAUGACGUCACCUGGAAUCAGGGUUUUGUUCGGUGCUUCCUCUUUCGACUCACCUCGUCCUUCUUCAGAAUCUGCUUCAUCUCCUCUCACGCUCGUCAGCAGAACCGCUGAAACACACAGUUUGUUGACUUCAGGCCACAGAAACCAGAUAUUCAGAGCAACAGGAAGGAGGCAACACCACAGAUGAGAGCAGCUCACUCUACCUACAUUACUACUUGCCCUUGCAUCUGUAGUUUGGCAAGAAAAUGUCUAAUAAAAUACAAUAUUGCUUUAAACCUGUUGUGAUGAGUUACAACAGAAGCACAACAAACAUGCAACUUUCACAUAGAGCAGCACUUACAGAAGCAGUGCAUCAGGCAAAAUGUAAUUUUAUUUCUUUCUAGACUAUGGCCUAAAUUAUAUUUGGUGAAAAUAUGUAUUCUAAACGGGAGUUUAACUUGAUUAUGUGGAGAACAAAGUAAAUUACCAAGACAUCAGUUCAUCAAAACAUCUUUGAAUUUUCUCAGGAACAUAA